GGCUCCAUGGUCAAGCGGUUAAGACACCGCCCUUUCACGGCGGUAUCCCGGGUUCGAGUCCCGGUGGAGUCACCA
rnacentral:tRNA from 1 species